GACGAACGCUGGCGGCGUGCUUAACACAUGCAAGUCGAACGGAAAGGCCCUGCUUUUGUUGGGUGCUCGAGUGGCGAACGGGUGAGUAACACGUGAGUAACCUGCCCUUGACUUUGGGAUAACUUCAGGAAACUGGGGCUAAAAUCGGAUAGGCGCUCCGGCCGCAUGGUGGGGGUUGGAAAGUUUCGGCGGUUGGGGAUGGGCUCGCGGCUUAUCAGCGUGUUGGUGGGGUAGUGGCUUACCAAGGCUUUGACGGGUAGCCGGCCUGAGAGGGUGACCGGCCACAUUGGGACUGAGAUACGGCCCAGACUCCUACGGGAGGCAGCAGUGGGGAAUAUUGCACAAUGGGCGGAAGCCUGAUGCAGCAACGCCGCGUGCGGGAUGACGGCCUUCGGGUUGUAAACCGCUUUCGCCUGUGACGAAGCGUGAGUGACGGUAAUGGGUAAAGAAGCACCGGCUAACUACGUG
rnacentral:rRNA from 1 species